UAGGGAAUCUUGGACAAUGGGCGCAASCCUGAUCCAGCCAUGCCGCGUGAGUGAUGAAGGCCUUAGGAUCGUAAAGCUCUUUCGCCAGAGAUGAUAAUGACAGUAUCUGGUAAAGAAACCCCGGCUAACUCCGUGCCAGCAGCCGCGGUAAUACGGAGGGGGUUAGCGUUGUUCGGAAUUACUGGGCGUAAAGCGCGCGUAGGCGGAUUAGUAAGUUAGAGGUGAAAUCCCRGGGCUCAACCCCGGAACUGCCUUUAAUACUGCUAGUCUUGAGUUCGAGAGAGGUGAGUGGAAUUCCGAGUGUAGAGGUGAAAUUCGUAGAUAUUUGGAGGAACACCAGUGGCGAAGGCGGCUCACUGGCUCGAUACUGACGCUGAGGUGCGAAAGUGUGGGGAGCAAACAGGAUUAGAUACCCUGGUAGUCCACMCCGUAAACGAUGAAUUCCAGUCGUCGGGCAGUAUACUGUUCGGUGACACACCUAACGCAU
rnacentral:rRNA from 1 species